rnacentral:rRNA from 1 species
AUGCCAUCCUGGAAUGGCGAGAGCUCGGACGAGGACAUCUGCAUGGUUUCAAUGGAUCCUCAGCUCUUUAAAACCCCUGGCAGUGUGGUGGAUCCAUCUUUCUGUGGUUCUUUCACUGAAUCUUUGCCGACGUGCAUGAUGCAUCAUCAGAGGCCGAAGAAGAUGUGGAGAUGUGUGGUGUAUGAUGUGUUUUGCUGGUGGAGAUGUGUGGUGCAGCAGGAUGAAGGUGUCAACUGUGGGGUGGUGGACUGGGUGGAUGGUCCUUGGCCAGAGAUUCUACAAAGGUGCCUAGCAAGGAUUUGGGACAUGUACCAUGAGCAGAACUUGGGUAGGGUGAAGGACAAACAAGCUCAUGAGAAAGAGGUGGGCAAGCUAAAUAAGGAAAUUGAGUUCCUGUCAAACAACUACAGCCAGCUGGUGGAAGAUGUAUCCAAGCUUUUUGACUAUCAAGAUGGCAAGAUGUCUCAUGACAUGGACUAUACCAGUCAGGCAAUCAAUGAACUAAAUGAAAAGAAGAAACAACUUGAGGAUCAGGCAAAGAUUGAGAUAAGUAUGGAAAAGCUGAAGCUUGCCAAGGAGCAAAGGUGCAUUCUUCAAAGCCAAGCAGAUAUCAUUCAGAACAUGAGGAAGGCCAUGAAGGAAGUGGAGGGGGAUAGGGACCUACUUAAGCAAGAGGAGAAGAAGCUGGAGUAUCUGAUUGCUGAUCUGCUCAAUGUUGGGCAUGCCAGCAAAGAUAAGCUGGAGAGGAUCAAGGCAAUAAUGAAUGAGUGA